rnacentral:rRNA from 1 species
AUGGUAGAGGCUACUAUACUGCUUGUCGUACAGAAAAUUGCCACGGCCGUAGCACUAAAUGCUGCUUCAACUUUAGCAAACAAAGCCGCGGCCGUGGUUGCAAUCCCAAGUAACAUGACAUUGAUUAGUAAUGAACUAGAGCUUCUACAAGCUUUUUUUAUGGACAUUGAAAUGAGGGGUCAUUCAAGUCAAGUAACAGAAACAUUGGUUGCUCAAGCCCGCAGAUUGGCUUAUCAUAUUGAAGACGUUGUAGACCAGUACAUUUAUGUUGUAGGCACAACCCAUCAGAAGGCUUCACCAUGGUUGGGUUGUGUAAAGAAGGUUGCGAAGAAGCCUAAAUCUCUGUAUACUCUUGAUCAAAUUGCCAAUGAAAUUCAGAAGAUAAAUCAACGACUUCAGCAGCUUAAACAAAAUAGGGACUGGACUCAACCAACCGGCAAUUUUCCUGAAAAAAGCUAUGACCACGAGCAUCAACUCUACAUUCCUGGUCAUGAUUAUUUGAUUGCUGAUGAUGACCUUGUAGGGUUGGACAAGAACAGGGAAACCUUGAUCAAAUCCCUGCAUCUAGAAGAUCACCCUCAUUUGCUGAUGAUUGCUGUGUGGGGCAUGGGUGGCAUCGGCAAAAGUACGCUUGUCUCAAGUGUGUAUAGAGAUCAGGCAGCCAACUUCCAAUGCGAUGCAUGGAUUUCUAUCUCCCAAUCUUGUAAAUUGGAUGAAAUAUUUCAGCAAAUGUUGGAAAAAUUAAAUGUACAAGACGCUGAAGAAUCUGAUGCUGAAAAUACGAGGGGUGUGAGAACUGAAGAGCCUCGAGUGAAACUGAAGAGACUCCUGCAGAACAGGAAGUACCUGAUCGUACUGGAUGAUGUAUGGACACCCACAGAUCUCUUGAAGAUUAAAGAGGUUCUUAUUGAUAAUGGCCAAGGUAGCAGGGUCAUUAUCACAACAAGAACUCACGAUGUAGCCUCAAUAGCAGAUGAAGGUUGCAAGUUAAAAGUAGAUAAAUUGGGUGAUAAUGAUGCAUGGCAGCUAUUCUGCAGGAAGGCAUUCCCGAAAAGUGAUGAACAUAUUUGCCCUACAGAUUUACACGAGUAUGCCAAAUGCAUAGUGGACAGAUGUGACGGGUUACCGCUUGCUCUUGUAGCAAUAGGGAGCAUGUUGUCCCUUAGAACAAAUAGUGCUCAAGAGUGGAAGCUCUUUAAGGAUCAACUUAUUUGGGAGCUGGGCAAUAACAAGGAGAUCACUGUUGUAGGAAGGAUUCUUCAUUUAAGCUACAAGGAUCUGCCAAUCUAUUUGAAGAACUGUUUCCUGUACUGUUCAAUUUUUCCUGAAGACUUUCCAAUCGGAGCAGCCUACCUGGUCAAGCUAUUGAUCUCCGAAGGAUUUGUUGAUGUGAGAGGAACAUGCAGCUUAGAAGAUGUAGCAAAAGGCUACAUUAUAGAGCUUGUCAGACGGAACAUGCUUCAGGUGUUAACGAGAAAUAGUUAUGGAGAGAUCAGCAAUCUUCAAAUGCAUGAUCUUGUGCGCGAGCUCGCAAUUUUGCAAGCUCGAAAGGAGAGUUUUAGCACUGUUUAUGAUUGCACCUAUGGAGUGGUACCAUCAGGAUUGGCUUCUCGUCGAAUUGGGCUGCACAAAUGCAAUGAGGACUUUACGUCAAACGUUGACAUAUCUAAGGCCAGAACAAUCUUAUGUUUUGACAAAAGCAUGCGAAUAGAUAUUUGGCUCUCUAUCCUAGAAGAAUGCAAGUACAUUGCAGUGUUGGACUUCUCAAAUCGUGCGAUCAAGGUCAUUCCAGAUUCAAUUGGGGAGCUGUUCAACCUAAAGUUUUUGAACUUCGAUGUGACCCAAGUUGAGUAA